CAGCUAAUAAAACAAGAAAAAGUGGAAGCAAUAACAAGGAAAGUUCGAUCACAUGCACCAACUGCCAUAGAAAUUAACUCGAAAUACAUCAAAAUAUGUCGUGCAUGAGAACUAUAGUCUCAUUUAUGCCAAAACUAAUCCACGGAGAAAGCUUAUUGAAUUAAUAAGACUGCAAAUUAUGAACAAAACCGACUAGUACAUUCACAAUAGUUACAUAUAUGACACUUUUCCCUUUAUUUGCUCCAACAUAACACCGGAAACGUUUUCCACGAAGUAUAACUGAUGUUUGUGAUGACAGUUUUAUCCGUAUAGGAAAAAUAAUAAAGAAGACAUCCAAAAGUAGAAAAAACAAUAACUCUAUAUCGUUCGAGUGGUUUUCACUUGCAUUUAAAGAACAAGUGUUACCAUCUAACCUGGUUGAUGCUACGACACGACCCACUUCAUUAUUUGGCCACCAUAGAGGAUCAAACAUACUUUAGACUGUAUCUCUUCAAUCAUUUUGCAUCUGGACCCGACACGAAAACACUACAGAAAGAUAGCCAACUCGACUCUGAACAAAAGCUCGACCAGCCAGAUCUAGAGUACUUCCAAUAAGGAAAGAAACAUCCUGCAAGUUUUCCCGCCUAUGUCAAUUUCACUGUAGAUACUCAAAUUUGAAAGAAAGGGUUCCAGAAGAUAUGCCAUCAGAUGAACCAACACUAGCAUGAAACCCAUAGCAGUUCAAGUUAAUGACCAACAAAUGCCCCAACCUU
rnacentral:lncRNA from 1 species